CGAACGCUGGCGGCGUGCUUACCACAUGCACGUCGAACGGAAAGGCCUCUUUCGGGGGGUACUCGAGUGGCGAACGGGUGAGUAACACGUGAGUAACCUGCCCUUGACUUUGGGAUAACUUCAGGAAACUGGGGCUAAUACCGGAUAGGAGCUCCUGCUGCAUGGUGGGGGUUGGAAAGUUUCGGCGGUUGGGGAUGGACUCGCGGCUUAUCAGCUUGUUGGUGGGGUAGUGGCUUACCAAGGCUUUGACGGGUAGCCGGCCUGAGAGGGUGACCGGCCACAUUGGGACUGAGAUACGGCCCAGACUCCUACGGGAGGCAGCAGUGGGGAAUAUUGCACAAUGGGUGGAAGCCUGAUGCAGCAACGCCGUGUGCGGGAUGACGGCCUUCGGGUUGUAAACCGCUUUCGCUCAUGACGAAGCUUUGUGUGACGGUAGUGGGUAAAGAAGCACCGGCUAACUACGUG
rnacentral:rRNA from 1 species